UAUCCUCAGGCCACUCAAGAUGACUGUUCUCUUGCUCUCUAUAAAUCCCUCACAAGACUAUCCAAUCCUCUUAAUGAUAGGGCUUAAUCAGUAACUGCCCAGGUGCUUGCCCACUAUCCCAGCCGCUGGUUUCCUUGGUAACUGAUAAGCCAAACUGACUCCAAUUUCACCUGUAAAUGGUAGCCUCCUUCUCCCCAAGUAGCGAAGAUUGCUGCUGUGUCCUUCCUGGUGUCUGCCAUACACAGUGGGGUGUUACUCCAGGAGCUUCUGCUUCAGACUGGAGUUUGUAAGUUAUCACAGUAGAAAUGACAAAUGUUUUUAUCAGUCACCAGUUUGGCAACUAAUGAAGGGACCCACAGCAGUCUUCUCUCCUUUGCCUGAACUCUAUGAGGAACCAGAGGCCUCUUGUGCCCAUUCACCUCCCUCAGAGAGUCUAGACGAAUUUGGAUUGGCCUUCAUAUACUGCGGAAGAAGGAAUGUGAGGUUUUCCAGACCUUAAGAAGUUUUGCACCUUUCACUCAUCUUUUUCUACUUCCACCAUGUGAACAAGCCUCAGCUACCCUGCUACAGAGGUCAUGUGGAAGAGACUGAGGCUCUCCAGCCAACAGCCUACCAAUUGCCCAACAGUAAACAACAAAUGUUGCCUGCCUUCAGCCACUGCAGCUGCCUCUGACAGUGCACCCUGAGUGGAAUUCACAAUGGAGAAAAAUAGGAUACUGGUCUCAGAUAAGAUCAUAUCUAAG